GACGCAGGGCGCGAGCGUUGUCCGGAUUUAUUGGGCGUAAAGAGCUCCUAGGCGGCUUGUUGCGUCGUCCGUGAAAACCUGUGGCUCAACCACAGGCUUGCGGUCGAUACGGGCGGGCUGGAGUUCGGUAGGGGAGACUGGAAUUCCUGGUGUAGCGGUGAAAUGCGCAGAUAUCAGGAGGAACACCGGUGGCGAAGGCGGGUCUCUGGACAACACCUGACACUGAGGCACGAAAGCUAGGGGAGCAAACAGG
rnacentral:rRNA from 1 species